rnacentral:rRNA from 1 species
UACGGGGGGAGCAAGCGUUGUUCGGAUUUACUGGGCGUAAAGGGCGCGUAGGCGGCCAGUGCAAGUCAGUUGUGAAAUCUCCGAGCUUAACUCGGAAAGGUCAACUGAUACUGCUCGGCUAGAGUGCGGAAGGGGCAACUGGAAUUCUUGGUGUAGCGGUGAAAUGCGUAGAUAUCAAGAGGAACACCUGCGGCGAAGGCGGGUUGCUGGGCCGACACUGACGCUGAGGCGCGAAGGCUAGGGGAGCGAACGGG